rnacentral:rRNA from 1 species
AUUGAACGCUGGCGGCAUGCUUUACACAUGCAAGUCGGACGAGUGGCGAACGGUGAGUAACGCAUCGGAACGUACCGAGUAAUGGGGGAUAACUGUCCGAAAGGACAGCUAAACACGCAUAUUCAUCGAGCGGCCGAUGUUUGAUUAGCUGGUUGGCGGGGUAAAGGCCCACCAAGGGGACGAUCAGUAGCGGGUCGGAGAGGAUGAUCCGCCACACUGGGACUGGGACACGGCCCAGACCCCGACGGGAGGCAGCAGUGGGGAAUUUUGGACAAUGGGCGCAAGCCGGAUCCAGCCAGGCGGGUUGUCUGAAGAGGGCCUUCGGGUUGUAAAGGACUUUUGUCAGGGAAGCGGUACCUGAAGAAUAGGCACCGGCUAACUACGUGCCAGCACCGCGGUAAUAC